AUCGCUUCUCGGCCUUUUGGCUAAGAUCAAGUGUAGUACAUACACAUGUUUUAGUAAAUGUGAGUUGUUGGCUUUUUAAGAAAGAUUUACUUAUGUAUUUGAAAGAGUUACAGCUGGGGCUGGGCCAGGCCAAAGUCAGGAGCCAGGAGUUUCUUCCAGUUCUCCCACAUGGGU
ensembl:snRNA U2 U2 spliceosomal RNA